rnacentral:pre_miRNA from 1 species
CUCCCACCUCAGCCUCCCAAAGUGCUGGGAUUACAGGCAUGAGCCACUGCGCCCAACCAGCAGGCUGAAUUCUGUAACCCAGAACUUU